rnacentral:misc_RNA from 1 species
AUUUGUGAGGGAAGAAAGCCAACUAGGGAACCUCACACCUCCAUACUCAUACACCCUCAAUCCUUUAAGAUUUUGGUGUGGCUGGAAGCUUUGCAAUAACCUUUCAUCAUAACCAACAUCUGCAUUGCUAUCUUGGAGGCUUUGCAAUGAUCUCGCAUAAUAUUUAGCAUACACACUAUUAUUAUCAACUUCUUCAUUCCAGCUUAAAAUCAAUGAUCGAAGAUGUUGUUUCUCUUUCAAAUUGGCAGCCUCA